ensembl:lncRNA
GUAGUGUCUGGGCGUUAAGCUCCCUCUUGUCCUUUGCCAGGGCCAAUCAGCCAUGUUCUCCAGGGCAUCACGACUCUCUGAUACCCCUCUCUUUAGGAGGGUCUGACUGGACCACUGGGGUAGGACUGACUCACGGCCCGGAAGAAGGGAGAAUAAUUAGAGGGAGGAGACAGAGAGGGGGGAACAAGGGAUGUGAGUAGCACGGCCACCAGUGGGAGACACUGAGUCAAAUAUGUGUUCCUGCUACAUUUACAGUAAAUGCACAGCUCACAAAGGGGAUGAGAAGAAGUAAAGAUAGCAAGGACAGGCUAAUUGACUAGAAUGCAAGGACAGGCUAAUUGACUAGAAUGCAAGGACAGGCUAAUUGACUAGAAUGCAAGGACAGGCUAAUUGACUAGAAUGCAAGGACAGGUUAAUUGACUAGAAUGCAAGGACAGGCUAAUUGACUAGAAUGCAAGGACAGGUUAAUUGACUAGAAUGCAUUUGCCCAAGGAGGUAAGGGAGUGUAAGCAAGAGGAUACCAUCCUGAUCUAUUCUGUAGUAUGACAGAACUAGAACUACAGAAACUAUUAUGUCCCAGGUGAUAGGUGUACCUGUCAUGUUCGUUACAUAGAAAUACAAAAACCCCUAGACAUACAAAAACCCUCGACAAACAAAAAAAUAGAUUUACCCACUCUAGUCACACCCUGACCUAACCAAAAUAUAUAUAAAAAACAGAGAUAUCUAAGGUCAGGGCGUGACAGUACCUUGCUCAGAAAAUCCUUAGAAUCAGCAGCUUCCUCUCCUGCCCCCUCCCUGUCCAGUACAGAGGGUCAGAGGGCGAGAUGGCAGAUUGUUUAACUUGACAGUGUGACUUCUGUUCCUCAGGAGGUCCAGUAUACAGUGGCACAUAGCUGGGUUGAUGUUCAUGUCCUGUAGCUUAGUCAAUAGUUUGUGGGGAUUGAUGGUAUUGAAGGCGGAGCUAAGUUAACAAGAUGCCUGCGUGGGUGUCGGGUGUCUCAGUGUUGCAGUGUGUGGUGGAG